rnacentral:rRNA from 1 species
GAUGAACGCUAGCUACAGGCUUAACACAUGCAAGUCGAGGGGAAACGACAUCGAAAGCUUGCUUUUGAUGGGCGUCGACCGGCGCACGGGUGAGUAACGCGUAUCCAACCUGCCCAUCACUUGGGAAUAACCUUGCGAAAGUAAGACUAAUACCCAAUGAUAUCCCACGAAGGCAUCGGAAUGGGAUUAAAGAUUUAUCGGUGAUGGAUGGGGAUGCGUCUGAUUAGCUUGUUGGCGGGGUAACGGCCCACCAAGGCAACGAUCAGUAGGGGUUCUGAGAGGAAGGUCCCCCACAUUGGAACUGAGACACGGUCCAAACUCCUACGGGAGGCAGCAGUGAGGAAGAUUGGUCAAUGGGCGAGAGCCUGAACCAGCCAAGUAGCGUGCAGGAAGACGGCCCUAUGGGUUGUAAACUGCUUUUAUAAGGGAAUAAAGUGGGUCACGUGUGACUUUUUGCAUGUACCUUAUGAAUAAGAACCGGCUAAUUCCGUG